AUUUCAAUGGUCUUUAUUUUUUCCUACCUGGCGUUUCUAGCAAAAGGCCAGAUAGAUGGAGUUAAAAUCCACCACAGUAAAGGUAAACAGAACCUCAGAACGCCCUGGUAGGAAUCCCCCCCUCCCCAAAACUGGCCCAGUCUCACCAGCAACUGAUCCCGGCUCAGCCUUACAGCGCUCGGAGCACCCCCUCCCCCCAUUUUUGUGAUUCAGUCCAGGAACAUUUGGGUUGUGUCUGAGGGAAGGUCAAGCUUGAGACUGAACAUAUUCCCACCUCUAACACACCAGAGGAGAAAAUUUUUAACCUGAAAUUAGAUCAGCCCUCCGCCCUCGAAGGGGAGUGCCUGGAAUUCUCCGAGGUUGGAAACGCAAACACCUACUAUUGAAAAACCUUGAAAGGGCGGCAUAGCCCCCGGUAAAAAAUAAAGUCCAACCCUGAGGAAUUUAAAGAACCAAGUCUCCCUUCUCCCAGUUCCAGAAGGAGAGGGUAAGGUCCACGUCACAGUCCAUUAAAACAGCACCUGUGGGCGCGGCAGGUCUGCGGCAAGGCGCCCGCGCCCCCCGGCUCAGGCUCCUCGGUGCCGCGACUGCACACAGGUGGCGACGGCUCCCCGGGGGCAGAGUCCCUCUCAGGGCCUCUCGGCAGCCCGGGAGGUGGCUCCUUUCCACGGUUUCCGAUGGUGCUCCCGUAGGGGUGGGCCUCGCCUCGGGUCUGCGCACUCUGGCCGACGGUUCGGCCCGCGCUCUGGGCUCCGGUAGCGCCGCUCGAGGGCCCUCAGAAGGCCACCACGGCCCGCACCAGCACGUUCAGCAUGUUAUCAGCCGGGCGGCAAGCCGGCUUCGCCUCGCACGCCGGCGGCGCCGUCGGCGGGGCGGCGGGGCUGCAGUUCAGGAGGCCGGAGAAGCGCCUCUGCAGGACACGCGCCAAAUUGGGGAAGGCGCCCUCCGUUUGCGCCGGAGGGGGCUGCAGGCGAUUGAGGACCUCCGAAGGGGCCCCUUCCUCCUCUUCUUCUAGACGGGCUUUCUUACUCGGGACCAGUGCGGCGUCCCCACCGUCGCUCAGGCUGCUGCUUCGCCGCUUGCGGCUGACUUUGGCAGGGCGCGGGGCACAGGGGGCAGGGGUCUCCUCGAUUCUCGGCGCCUCCUGCGUGUCCAUGGGUUCCGGAGAGGGAGGCUCACCGUCGGGGAGCGCUGCAUUGGCUGCGGCUUCCGCUUCUCGCGGUGGGUGUAGGCGAGGAUCAGGGGAGCGGGCGGGUGGCAAGGGCACCUCAGGCUCGUGGGCUUCCACCUUUGCCGAAAGGUAGAGCUCCCGGGCGCUACGCAUGACCAGCGACAGCUGCAGACUCCGGUGCAACCGUAGGCCACCGCGCUGCAUGCGCGAAUGGUACAUCUUCCAAACGGACAGGGUCAUAAUGCGUUGCGCCUCUUUCUGCACUUCCAUGACGACUCGACGGCGGGACCGAGGUUUGGCGGGGACUCCGGGCUGGGCAGGGGAGGUGGCAGGUGCACUCCAGACUAUGCGUUCGUUCACGCCUCUCUCUGCGGAGAUACCCACACUGAGAGACUAGUAGGACGCUCU
ensembl:lncRNA